UUAUCUAAAAGUCAAAACUUUUCUACUCAAGAUUUUCAAGAUGGUCAGAUUGCCACAAUGGAAGAUAGCAAGGAGACUGUCAGUAUUUUAAAUAUUGAAGCUUUGGAUGAUACAAGUGAUGUGCAAUCAAUUGUCACUAUUCCUGAUGAGGAACUAACUCAAUCUACAUCCAGCUGCAAUAAACGAAGGAACUCUGAUGAUAAAAAAACUUUGAAUAAAAUAGCAAAAACUGAACCAGUGAGAAAAAAUAAAAAAACAAAUU